rnacentral:rRNA from 1 species
CCUGGAAAACGGGUGGUAAUGCCGGAUGCUCCAGUUGAUCGCAUGGUCUUCUGGGAAAGCUUUCGCGGUAUGGGAUGGGGUCGCGUCCUAUCAGCUUGACGGCGGGGUAACGGCCCACCGUGGCUUCGACGGGUAGCCGGCCUGAGAGGGCGACCGGCCACAUUGGGACUGAGAUACGGCCCAGACUCCUACGGGAGGCAGCAGUGGGGAAUAUUGCACAAUGGGCGCAAGCCUGAUGCAGCGACGCCGCGUGAGGGAUGGAGGCCUUCGGGUUGUAAACCUCUUUUAUCGGGGAGCAAGCGAGAGUGAGUUUACCCGUUGAAUAAGCACCGGCUAACUACGUGCCAGCAGCCGCGGUAAUACGUAGGGUGCAAGCGUUAUCCGGAAUUAUUGGGCGUAAAGGGCUCGUAGGCGGUUCGUCGCGUCCGGUGUGAAAGUCCAUCGCUUAACGGUGGAUCCGCGCCGGGUACGGGCGGGCUUGAGUGCGGUAGGGGAGACUGGAAUUCCCGGUGUAACGGUGGAAUGUGUAGAUAUCG